UACGAAGGGGGCUAGCGUUGCUCGGAAUUACUGGGCGUAAAGCGCGCGUAGGUGGUUCGUUAAGUUGGAUGUGAAAUCCCCGGGCUCAACCUGGGAACUGCAUUCAAAACUGUCGAGCUAGAGUAUGGUAGAGGGUGGUGGAAUUUCCUGUGUAGCGGUGAAAUGCGUAGAUAUAGGAAGGAACACCAGUGGCGGAGGCGACCACCUGGACUGAUACUGACACUGAGGUGCGAAAGCGUGGGGAGCAAACAGG
rnacentral:rRNA from 1 species